rnacentral:rRNA from 1 species
GACGAACGCUGGCGGCGUGCUUAACACAUGCAAGUCGAACGAAGUGGCGAACGGGUGAGUAACGCGUAAUCAACCUGCCCUUCAGAGGGGGACAACAGUUGGAAACGACUGCUCAUACCGCAUACUGAAGGUGGGGAUUGCGUCUGAUUCGCUAGUUGGAGGGGUAACGGCCCACCAAGGCGAAGGUCAUUAGCCGGGCUGAGAGGGUGAACGGCCAAAAUGGGACUGAGACACGGCCCAAGCUCCUACGGGAGGCAGCAGUUGGGAAUCUUCCGCAAUGGAGGAAAGUCCUACGGAACAACGCCGGGUGGGUGAAGACAGCUUUCGGGUUGGAAAGCUCUGUUAAUCGGGGCGCGGUACCGGAAGAGAAAGCCACGGCUAACUACGUGCCAGCAGCCGCGGUAAUAC